CAGCUCAGGGUCCUCGGCAUCUGUUGUAGAAGUUGGAAGCACAGCAGGCAGAAGAUACUGCUUUGUUCAGGCCUGGUUCAUACCUACCCUGGCAGCCCAGCACUGAUGCCUGCCCUGGUGCCACAACCAGCACCUUAGUGCAGCACCGUGUUUACCUCGCAAAAGCAGACGGGAGAUAAGAGCCGAUAUCACGAAACCUACCUUCUUCAGUGAAGGUGGGGGAAACUCGGCUUAGUUCUCCCCGGUGAGUUGGCAAAGGUCUCCGCUCUUCCCGGCGUCAUUCUGCAUCGUGAAAAUCUCGCAGCAGCAGGCGAACAAGGGCGAGGCAAACCUUCCAGGGGACUAUGAGGAAGGCGACGCAGCCGUUCAGCCCAAAUCCACGGCUUCGGACUAGAGCUGAGCUUUAUUCCAAAGGACUUCGGCUCCCGCGGAGGGCGGCACCGGCUGGGCAAGUAGACAAACAGGAACCGAGGGCGCUGCUCAAAGGCGAAAAGCCGAGAGAUGACACUUUCUUAAUCACCGACUUGUGCCAGGACGAUUGAAAGGUGUCAGAGAGUACUAAGGGAGCCAAGCCUACAGGGUGGACUCAAUCACGCUCGUGGGAUCUCCUUUGGUUUUUUUCUUUCUUUCUAGAAGCCCCGAGAUCUACCAAGGGGUGCCUGGUGCAAAAAUACACUUUACUAACACACGGUAUGUUAAAAGUACAUCCACCCCCAUCCCGAAUCCUGGGGUGCUGGACUCCGACCUGGGAGACCAGGGUUCGACUCCCCACACAGCCAUGAAGCUCGCUGGGUGACCUUGGGCCAGUCACUGCCUCUCAGCCUCAGAGGAAGGCAAUGGGAAACCCCCUCUGAAUACUGCUUACUAUUCACAGGGUCGCCCAUAAAUCGGAAUCAACUUGAAGGCAGUCCAUUUUAUUUUCAAGGGUGGAAAUUAUAGCUCUGGGAGAAGUAAACUACAGCUCCCAGGAUUCUUUGGGAAGGGGUGGGGAAAUGUGCUUUAAAUGGGGACGGUGUACAAGCCGGAACGGAACGGAACAGGCCAGAACGGGCCCUUUAUAAAAGAAAUUGAUGCCAAAAACACUGGGAUGUGUUAGAGACACUGGAGAACAACAUUUAGGAACUAAAACCAUUCCGAUAGCAUUUUUUAUCAACCCCUUAACAACCAAAAUGCCCUCCGGAAUGGAAUGAAACAUCCCGGAACAUCCCAGUGUUUUUGGCAUCAAUUUCUUUUAUAAAGGGCCCGUUCCGGCCUGUUCCGUUCCGUUCUGGCUUUUACACCAUCCCCUUUAAAUGUACGGUGUAUGUAGACUCAGCAAAGUCUGGGCCCUGCAUUGAUGGCUUUCUUCGAAGUGUUUAUGCCAUGCCUACCAACCAAAAUUCUCUAGAGGGGGCUUACAAAUGCAUUUAAAACGCAAUAAAAUAGACAGCGCUAAUAUAAUAGUUACUAGAGAAAGUGCCAAAGUGUAUAUAAAUUGCCCCCUCUCUCGUUCUGCGACAGGGGUAGCCCACGUGGUGCUCUUCAGGUGAUGUUUUGGAUUCAAAGUCUGUAAGAACAUUAGAACAGCUUGCUGGAUCGGGCUGGUGGCCCAUGUAAUCCAGCAUCCUGUUCUCACAGUGGCCAACCAGAUGCCCUUUAUGGGAAGCCCCCAAGCAGGACCCGUUCCCUGUACUGGCAGGGUAACACCCAAAACAUGCCAGACAGUGUUUUCUCUUUAAUGGGUUUUGGGUGCUUUUUGUUUUGUCCUGAAAAUGAAGAGGAUUUGAAACAGAAAUAAAAAAAAUGAAGAGGAAGGUCAUUCGGUGAUCUCUGUCUACACAUUUAGAAAAGUGUCUCUGAAGCAGCUCAUCUCUCAAAAGGAUGGCUCACCCAGGCCAUGAGUGGGCUUUAGCAUAAAGGGGAGAAUUUCACCACACCAUAAAAUUCUCUAGAACAAGGAACCUGUGACCCUCCAAAUGUUGUUAGUCAAGGAUGGUGGGAUUUGUAGUCCAGGAUUUGUAGUCCAGCAAUAUCUGGAAGACCACAGGAUCCCCAACCUCUUCUCUGGCGCAUUGUGCCAUCUAUCCAGAGCUCUUGGGCUUAUUCAUCCAAGUACUUUUAAGGGUAAGGGCAGGUAACCCUCGUAAUCCUUUUAGACUCAUAACCAGGGCAAGAGCCAUAGCUCAGUGGUGGAGCACGCAUGCUUUGCUUGCAAAAGAUCCCAGGUUCUCAUAUGCUGCUAUGUUCCACCUUAUGAGUGAGGCCACACCCAUUCCCAUUUCAUAGAUGGCAAACUGAGACUGAGAGCCCACAAGUAGGACCUGAGUGGGUACAACAGCACUCUCCCUUCCUGCAGCUACUGGCAACUGGUUUUCAGAAGCCAUGCUACCCCUAUGGUGGCAGAGCACAGCCAUCCUGGCCAGUAGCCAUUGAUAACCAUAUCCUCCAUUUCCCCUCACCCUUGUAUGUCAGCUGAGACCGAUAGGGUCCAACAUCUGGAGGUCGCCACGUUGGCUACCCCGAUCCCCAAAUGUUCCAUGUUCCCAUGUCCCUAUGCUGCUCUCACCCCUCAUUUAGGUGCAUGGGAUGCAUGCGUGUGGACAUACGUUCUUACAGUUAUGGAAAGUGAUUCUUAAUAAUAAGUCUCCAGACACAAAGUUACAUAGGUAUUUAUUAGUUGUUUAGUAGAAAAUUCAGAAGUGCAGAGUCCCUUCAUGAUAGUUGCAGCCACAUACACCCUUUUUUACUCCUGGAUUAAGAAUGAGAUCUUUGUUAAUGCAUUCUCUCACAACAACAAACAUCUGUAGGAGCCAAUCAGCAUGUAAGUGGAGAGCGUUAGCAACUGAGAAGAGUCUUCUCAGUGGCUGACUCACCUCCUUUCACUCUGAUUGGCUCCAAUCAGCAGGAAAGGCAAGGAAGACUAACACACUUCCUUUUCAUGCUGACUGUAGGAUGCUUGGAGACAUAGGGACCCUGCUCCCAAAAAAGCAGAGGGACUAAGAUCCCCUGGGUGACUACCCUCCUGGUGCUUAUGGACAUGACCAUAAUAUAUUUUGUGACGUGCAAGUUCGAUAUUAUUGUAUACCCUGUAUUAAUCUGUUAUUUUCAGCAAGCAAAUAAAGGCCUAUAGCAAGAUAUUGUAGCCUUAUGUUAAGCAUAAUAUGUAUUUGCUAGUGAACCUGAAGGCUUGUAUUCCCCUUUCAGGCCCCUGCAUUCCAUAAUCAUCUGAAAACCUAAGCUAGGAAACGGCAUGAUGACCUGCCCAGUAUAAUGAUGGGAAUGUACCUUGUUAGUUAGAGAGGCAUCAAAGGAGCCCAAUUAGGCAUAUAUUCAAGAAUAUGUUAUCAGCAAGGUGUUUUAUAGAUGAUUUAAGCCUAGGUUAUAUUCCAAAGGGUAGGUUAAUGAGCAGUUGCUCAUUAAGGCAGCCAGGUGGACGAGUCAAAGGACGGUCAAUGAUGAGAGUUGCUUGUUAGCAGAGAUAGAGAUGAAGAUAUGGCCAACAUAUAGGUUGCCAAAGGAGUGCCAGGGUGUUUCCAUAUAGUUUUCUAGUAAUUAGUUGGCUUUUGAAGAUGUCUUGUGAGAAGGUCAAAUAACCAAUCAUCGGUGUUAUGCUGUAAUGUUCAAUGCAUGAAAAAUAUCAUUUGUGUAUGUAACCUUGCCAACAUUGUAUGUAAUCAUGCCAAUGCCACAUGCUAGCUUCAAUACUAUAAAAAUGUUUCUUGUGCCCAGUAUGGGUGUUCAGUCUGACCCAGCUACUGCAGAGCUGUGGACUGUUCCACUUUUAUUGGGCUACUUGGCUGUAUGCUUGUAAGU